AUAGCCUGGUAGAUUUCACUGUUCCGGUGACCGGUGUCGGUCCGGACAAUUAAUAGGAUUAGGGCCACACUUAAGACAACUUGAGAAGCCAUAAACAUAAAUAAUUAGUAAUGUUUAAUUAGUUAACUACAAAUAAGAAAAACAGAACAUAAGAGGUUAAACGAGCCGAGAGUCACAGCGAUGAGUGACCUCCUCGGGAACGACUGCGAAGUCGUUUUAAACUCAAAUUUCGAACCGUAAAAAGUGACGCUGCGGUCCUUAGGACCCUCAUGAACACAGUGGAAAAGAGAAAACCACGAAAAAGAACUGUUAAGCCAGUCAAAUAAUUAGGUCAGGGAGCCGGAAGAAAUAUUGGAUUAUUUGCAAACCGGGAUGAACCGGCGAGGGGCAAUUUGGUUAAUUGACCCCGAGAGCUGACUCCUGACCUAACUGUCAAAUAAAAUCGGAGAAAAGAAAAUUUCAGAAUCGAGAAUUAAAUUAAAGAAAUAAUAGAAAAAAAAUAAAUAAAUAGAAAAAAAAAAAAAGGAAAGAGGUUGGAAAAGUCAAAAGUUAUGACAUAUGAUGUCAUAACUAAAUUAAUAAAUUGAAUUAAUUAAUUUGGAAUUAGUGGUCUUUCAUAAGCAAAAACGUGUAAGGGAAAAACAAAAGAAAAUCUCUUCUUCUUUCAUCUUCCUUGCCACCCCAUCUUCCUCCCAAGUUCCUCCAUGAGUGGACUUCCAUGUAAGCUUACUUUUAAGCUUAGUUUUCUUCACUUAAUUCAAAUAACUCCAUUAAAAACCUCCCUAGAGCUUAUUGUUACAACUUGAGAAGAGGAUUACAAGAAGAAGGAAGAGUUAAAGAUAGGGUUUUGAAGCUUUAACAAAAGUUGAAAAGAAUAUCGGGAAGGAACCCGAGGAACCGAGUCGAGGCUAAAGGACGACUCGUUUGAGAUACAGAGAUUAGAGGAGCAGCAG